UGCCAAGAAAAGAACAAUCAAUGGAAUGGAUGGCUAGACACCUGUAACUUCUUUAAUUUAUAUCGAGAUUUUCAUAUUUUUUGGUAGUAAUAAAAAGAUAAUACUCCUAAAUAUCCACAAUUUAUCACUAUUUUUAUAAAAUAUGGUAGAUAAUUUUUAUGGUAUUUUACUUAUUUAUUUAUAUAAUUAUUUAUUUACUUUUGUUUUGGGG
rnacentral:lncRNA from 1 species